ACGAACGCUGGCGGCGUGCCUAAUACAUGCAAGUCGAACGAACCGCGACUAAGUGCUUGCACUAAGUCAAGGUGAGUGGCGAACGGGUGAGUAACACGUGGGUAACCUACCUCAUAGUGGGGGAUAACAGUCGGAAACGACUGCUAAUACCGCAUAGGACAUAGGAUCGCAUGAUCCAGUGAGGAAAGGUGGCGCAAGCUAUCGCUAAGAGAUGGACCCGCGGUGCAUUAGCUAGUUGGUAGGGUAAAGGCCUACCAAGGCGAUGAUGCAUAGCCGACCUGAGAGGGUGAUCGGCCACAUUGGGACUGAGACACGGCCCAAACUCCUACGGGAGGCAGCAGUAGGGAAUCUUCCGCAAUGGACGCAAGUCUGACGGAGCAACGCCGCGUGAGUGAAGAAGGUCUUCGGAUCGUAAAGCUCUGUUGUUAGAGAAGAACAGCGCAUAGAGUAACUGCUAUGCGUGUGACGGUAUCUAACCAGAAAGCCACGGCUAACUACGUG
rnacentral:rRNA from 1 species